GACGAACGCUGGCGGCGUGCUUAACACAUGCAAGUCGAACGGAAAGGCCCUGCUUUUGUGGGGUGCUCGAGUGGCGAACGGGUGGGUAACACGUGAGUAACCUGCCCUUGACUUUGGGAUAACUUCAGGAAACUGGGGCUAAUACCGGAUAGGAGCUCCUGCUGCAUGGUGGGGGUUGGAAAGUUUCGGCGGUUGGGGAUGGACUCGCGGCUUAUCAGCUUGUUGGUGGGGUAGUGGCUUACCAAGGCUUUGACGGGUAGCCGGCCUGAGAGGGGGACGGGCCACAUUGGGACUGAGAUACGGCCCAGACUCCUACGGGAGGCAGCAGUGGGGAAUAUUGCACAAUGGGCGGAAGCCUGAUGCAGCAACGCCGCGUGCGGGAUGACGGCCUUCGGGUUGUAAACCGCUUUCGCCUGUGACGAAGCGUGAGUGACGGUAAUGGGUAAAGAAGCACCGGCUAACUACGUGCCAGCAGCCGCCGUAAUAC
rnacentral:rRNA from 1 species